UUCACACACACUUCACUCUCACUUUCACUCAACCAGUUCUCUGAAGCAUUUCUGCAAGCAGUUCAUCUUCAUCUCAUUCUUCUUCAAUAAUGGAUGCUCAACAACAAUCAGUUUCCAACUAUUCUCAACAAAUGGAAUCCAGCAACACAGUCCAAAGCACAAGCAUUCCCACUCCAACAGUUACAGGCGUAACUAUUACUCCA
rnacentral:lncRNA from 1 species